CACCACUACUGGACUUUAUUUCAGACCUUCAGCUGCAUGACAUAGCCUAGAGUCAUAAAGGCUAAUCUGACCAAUCAGAUGACUCUCAAUGAUGACACAGUGGAGCAUCAGGCGUUGCCAUGGAAAUGCUGCCCGGUUACAAUCAAACAGGGCAUCACCCUUAAGGCAGCUUUGAGGUGGGGUAGUGCUAUUAGGACUUAGCCAUAAAGCCAGGCUAGUGGCUGAACAUCUUCCCUUCAUCUUCAACUCAAGAGUGACCUCUAGAUAAGGAGGGCUGUCCAUCUUCAAAUUCUGCAUUAUCCUUGAGGGAACGAAAUAACAUAUCCAAAAAGUCUACCUCAGACAGGAACUGAAGAACUAUCCCAGAUCAAUCAAUUUAGAAAUGCCAGAAAGAUUGUUGUUGAGCUCUGCACAAAGCUGAAAUAAUGCUGUGUGUUAAAAAAUGUGAAGAAUUUGAAAAAGUUAUAAAAAUUUAUAAGUUGGCUCGA